UGGCAAUACCCCACCACUAAGCAAGUGGUUGCUCCAUUAAUGCCACAAAUGGUGGCAUGCUUUAAGGCAUUAUUGGCCCCUCCAUGUUGACCAUGAAAUGCCUAUAAAAGAGGCAUGAUUAUUUGAGAGCAAAGAGAGAGUGCAGAGAGUGUGUGAGAACGUGAAGAGAAGAGAAGAGAAGAAGAGAGAAAGAGGAGCUGCUGCCAUAUGCAGCAGAGUGUGUGAACUGGGAGUUGAGUGAUCCUCCUCCAUGUAUUGUUUUGUAAACCUUUCUCUAUCUCUAAUACAAUGACUCUCUCCCGUGGAUGUAGGCG
rnacentral:lncRNA from 1 species